rnacentral:rRNA from 1 species
UACGUAGGGUGCAAGCGUUGUCCGGAAUUAUUGGGCGUAAAGAGCUCGUAGGCGGUCUGUCGCGUCGGAUGUGAAAACCCAGGGCUCAACCCUGGGCCUGCAUUCGAUACGGGCAGACUAGAGUUCGGUAGGGGAGACUGGAAUUCCUGGUGUAGCGGUGAAAUGCGCAGAUAUCAGGAGGAACACCGGUGGCGAAGGCGGGUUGCUGGGCUGACACUGACGCUGAUGCGCGAAAGCCGGGGGAGCGAACAGG